UUAAUAAUUUGUUGUGAUGACAUUCAGACAUUUUUUGUAUUUGUUUUACAGUUUUUGGGGCCAAUCUACAUGUGACAGUUGAACAGGAGAGGAUGUCAUUAGCUGAGAUUUCUGUAGCUCCAACACUAGCACAUGAUGCCAGCAACGCCAAAGUCCUGGGUUCGACUCUCAGCAUGUGCAUGUCACCGUGGGAACGCUUCUGUCAGAAUCCACUGAAUCAGUUGCCAUAGAAACUGUGUUCAAUAAUAGCUAUAGUCACUGAAUUAGUAUUUAUGCAGUCUGAGAAUUGUUUCACACCCCCUGCUUUCUUGCAGAGAGGGCCUUGAUAUAUAUUUAGCCCC